GAUGAACGCUGGCGGCGUGCCUAAUACAUGCAAGUCGAGCGAACAGACGAGGAGCUUGCCCCUCUGACGUUAGCGGCGGACGGGUGAGUAACACGUGGAUAACCUACCUAUAAGACUGGGAUAACUUCGGGAAACCGGAGCUAAUACCGGAUAAUAUAUUGAACCGCAUGGUUCAAUAGUGAAAGACGGUUUUGCUGUCACUUAUAGAUGGAUCAGCGCCGCAUUAGCUAGUUGGUAAGGUAACGGCUUACCAAGGCAACGAUGCGUAGCCGACCUGAGAGGGUGAUCGGCCACACUGGAACUGAGACACGGUCCAGACUCCUACGGGAGGCAGCAGUAGAAAAUCUUCCGCAAUGGGCGAAAGCCUGACGGGGCAACGCCGCGUGAGUGAUGAAGGUCUUCGGUUCGUAAAACUCUGUUAUUAGGGAAGAACAAAUGUAUAAGUAACUAUGCACGUCUUGACGGUACCUAGUCAAAAAGCCACGGCUAACUACGUG
rnacentral:rRNA from 1 species